rnacentral:rRNA from 1 species
GGCGAACGGGUGAGUACACUGUGGGCAAUCUGCCCUUCACUCUGGGACAAGCCCUGGAAACGGGGUCUAAUACCGGAUAAUACUCCUGCCCGCAUGGGUGGGGGUUGAAAGCUCCGGCGGUGAAGGAUGAGCCCGCGGCCUAUCAGCUUGUUGGUGGGGUAAUGGCCUACCAAGGCGACGACGGGUAGCCGGCCUGAGAGGGCGACCGGCCACACUGGGACUGAGACACGGCCCAGACUCCUACGGGAGGCAGCAGUGGGGAAUAUUGCACAAUGGGCGAAAGCCUGAUGCAGCGACGCCGCGUGAGGGAUGACGGCCUUCGGGUUGUAAACCUCUUUCAGCAGGGAAGAAGCGCAAGUGACGGUACCUGCAGAAGAAGCGCCGGCUAACUACGUGCCAGCAGCCGCGGUAAUACGUAGGGCGCAAGCGUUGUCCGGAAUUAUUGGGCGUAAAGAGCUCGUACGCGGCUUGUCACGUCAGAUGUGAAAGCCCGGGGCUUA